GCGCGACAAGGUUAAAUCAUAAAUUACUAAGCGUAACUCAGAGCCAAAUAAUUUUAUCAGCCAAUAGUCAACUGGAAAUCAAAUAACCUCAAUUGUGAUCACAAAUUUAUUAAAAUCUGGACCCAUACAAGCCAUAUCUCUCAUUUCUAGAAGUUAAGAAACAUAAACAGCAGGUUAAUAUCCGUUUCCCAACUCACAAUCUAUCAUCAUGAAAAAGGGCAUUUCAAGCACUGGAAAUCAAAUAACCUCAAUUGUGAUCACAAAUUUGGAACAGUUUGACUUCACAUGAACCAUUGGUUGAUGAUUCAUCCUUAUAAGCAUAAACUAUCCUUCUCAUUUCAUCAAUAGCUAAACCCCCUGUAGAAGAAUCAAAACCCUUAUAGUACCCUCAUAGUACAAAACCAACCCAAAAAGCUUCCAGCUUUUACCAUUGGACUCAUUCCCAAUUCAGAUUUUAUGCCUCUAAAACAACCCGAUCACCAAAAUCUAGAUACAAAUUCUCAAAAUCCCAGAUAAAAUUUUUGCCUAAAAAUUCAAACUUGGAAUCAAAACUCAAUUCACCAAACAAAACCCAGAAUUUAUCUUCCUUAAACAGCCCAAAAUAUAGAAUCAAAUAACAUAAAUAUCCAAAGUUUUGCACAAAUGAGGCUUAUUUAGGACCUGUAAUAGACCUGGAAAAUCCAAAAUGAGAACAGGAAAUUCUGUGUGAAAAACAAAAGGGUGUUAAAUCAAUGACAUGAUCCAAUCAAAAGAAGCUCAAAAAGGACGUUGGCUGUGACAAUGCUGUUGGCCUGGAAAACGGUGGAUUUUUCUUUUUCAAUUUCUUCAACAAGUUUUCAUUGAAAAGUUAGAGCUGACAAAGAAUUUGAGAAAAAUAGUAACUUCUCAAGGUUUUUAUGAUUAUUACCAAUGAAAACCUUAUUUUUUUUUAAACUUGUUGAUAUUGUUAGACUUCUUGAGAUAGAAAGAGAG
rnacentral:lncRNA from 1 species